UAUGGUCCAUUUCAUGGUCUUGGGCAUCAACACCAUUACCAUCAAUAUGCAGGGUGGUGCCAUCACAGCUUCUCUCCACAUCAGUAUUAGUAUCUUCUACUGCUGAACUGGUGUCACAGCUUACUUCUACGUUGUACAAUUGUUAGAUUGUUCUGUUCAUAAUCGUGGGCAUAUAGAAAGUGGAAGCCACACCUCGCCGCUUUCACUGGUUUAAUACCGAAGUAGACAUUAAAUGAAGCGUUCAAGGUUCUCCAUUCAUUUGAGUGAUAUCUCUUGGGAAUACAUGACUUCGGAUAAUAUACGAAGCACCCUUGACUUGAUGCAUCUUCAUCAUAGCAGAAUUCACAAAAUUGAUCAAAGUGAUAGGAAAAAUAUGCAGAGUCAUAAUCGAAAUUCAAGUUACAGUUGAAAAUCCUAUGUGUUGUGGUCUCAAUCUCAAGUGGAACAUAAAGAGAGCACAGAACAAAGCCCAAGAAGUCAUCAUUUUCAUACCAACUCCAAGGAAGUUUCAUUGUUAUUUUGAACCCGCUUUUCUGAUGGCAUAUCCACUCCGGAAUCCCAUUUCUUUCAGCAAUAAAAGUUAUGAAAGAUCUUCUAAAUUCACGCUGCUGCACAAAAAUUACCCUCUGAAUUUUGCGUCCCCAUGAAAAGAAAGGUUAAAUGAUAUAUGAAAACCAUACCUGAAUUUGGGAUUUAAAACAUUUGAAUAAAGAAGACCAGAGUAGAUUUGAUUGACUGGAUAAAUUUUCCAGGGAUGUGCAGUGAUGGGCAUCUAGACACCUUAAACCUGAUGGAAGUUCUGGAAUAUGUUGAAGCAUCUUGCAGUGACCCAAGUCAAGAUGUUCUAGGUUAUAAAGUUGACUGAUCCCAUCAGGUAUGCGACUAAAGUGGUUCCCCCUCAGAGAUAAUGUUACCAGUGAUGAUAGGUAAUAAAUUUCACUGGGAAAUUCCCUUAGAUUGCAGCCUUUAAGCCUUAAUGUCCUCAAGGAGCAUAAACCGGACAAAGACGGCAAUUGAAAAUUCAUUGAAUCUAAAUGCCCAACACUAAGAUGAAGUAAAGAUUGUAGUCUCCCCAAGUUGUCUGGCAAUUUCUUGAAGUUUGGACAGCUUUCGACAACCAGAGUUUUAAAAGAUGUCAAAUUACAAAUACUCUCGGGAAGAUUCACAAGGUUUUUGCAGUUUCUCAGAAGCAAAUAUUGAAGCCCUCUUAGACGUUCAAUUGAUGAUGGUAUCUCUUUUAUGGCGGUUCCAUUUAAAUAAAGCUUUCUCAAGCUCUCCAUAUCUUGCAGGAUUUCUGGAAAGCUCUCUAGUUGUGAACAGCCAGAGCAGGAGAGAGUUGCAAGGGAUUUGAAACCAAAAAUGCUACUGGGCAGACUCGUAAGAUUUCUGCAAUCCCGCAGACAUAAACUAUCAAGUUCCGAGGGAUUCUUGAUAAUGGGUACUUCAUUCAUAUCACUGCCCUUAAAACAGCACUUCCGCCGAAGCGUCCCAUCCCGUUGGCAUGCCCUGCAUAUUCUAAUAUCUGCAUCCUCAUGGCUUUGUUGAAGGUCUUGGGAGUAUAUAAGGCGGACUCCACACUCCUUUACUUUCAAGACUUUCUCAGAAUUAACGUAAAAGUCGAAAAAGACAAACCUAAGGCGAGUCCAUUGAUCAGAGCAAAACCUUUCCGGAAUGGCUGCCUUGGGAUAGCAAAUCACCCACGUCUGACCUGAUACACUCUCAUUAUCUUCGUCCUUCUCUUCUUUAUAGCAAAAACAAUUGGAUUGAAACAAGGAACGAUCUACCAAUUCAACUCCAUCACCAAUGAUAACCAAAUCACACUGCAGACAACAAGAAUGUCUAUGUUUAUGUUCAUUCUUACGAAAAGAUUCAGCCACAGAUUUAUGGUCUGUUUCAUUCUCCCUUGUAUGAGCAGAUUCAUCCUCAGAUUUAUUGUCUGAUUCAAUCUUGGACCCGUGAGCAGAUUCUUUUUCGGGUAUGUCCUCAGAUUCGUAAGCAAGUGGAACAUAAACACAGCAUAUAGCAAAUCCCAAAAACUCAUUAUUUUGGUGCCAAUUCUGAGGGAGCUCUGUUCUUGUAAAAUGUCUAUUUGUCCGACCCAUAAUCCAUUCUGGAAUUCCAUCACUUCCGGGAAGAAAAAUGCAAGUUCCCUUGCCAUGGUAGGAAGAAUCACUAAAACUAGUGAGUUGCGAAUCCUGCACCAAAGCACCAUGUAAAUAUAGAGUCCGCAUAUAACCAGUGUGUGACAUGAAAAUCAUACCUGUGCCCAACUGAAACAAUUGACCAGAGAAUGCAAUGGCAAAAACGGGGCUCUUGAUGAAGUGUGAUUUGAACCAUGUGCAUCUAAAAGCUGUAGACGUGAUGGAAGCUCUGGAAUUUGUUCAAGAUUGUUGCAGUGACUAAGGUUAAGGGCUUUCAGCCUGGAAAGCUGAUUGAUGGUAGGAGGUAUGCUACUAAAAUGGCCCCCUUCCAGAUUUAGUUUCUGUAAUGAUGAUAAAUAGCAAAUAUGACUAGGGAUUUGGUGGAGCUUUGAACACUCUUGAAGUAGGAGAGUUUGAAGACCCUUAGCUUUCUCAUAUUGGCCAUGAUUUCUGGAAAUCUCUCUAGCUUUGAACAGCCAUUGCAAGACAAAGUUUGAAGGUGUUUCAACUUGUAAAUGCCUCCUGGAAGAAGCUCCAGGUUUACACACCCUGCCAGAUUCAAGGGAAAAAGAAAAACCAAGUUAGUUUUAGUAAUUAUAAUACUACUGCACCAAACUUUUAAGUACCGUUGUACAACCUUUUAGAGUUAGAAUCUCCAAGUUUGGCACACUUGAGAAGUCUGGGAUUCUUAUGAGAUGGACAGAGUGACUGAGAUCAAUAACCCUCAACUUGUCAUGAAGCUGUAACAAAAUAAUUUUUUUCAAUAGAUAAAUUUACAAGUUAAAAAUGAAUAUAAAAUUAAAUUGUAACUAAAUAAUAAUAACAAUACCUUAUUGCCCCUCCAAACUUGCUUUAUAUUGCUGUCCCUUAAUGAGAGUUCAACAAGGUUCUUUCCAUGAAAAUUCAUUGGCAAAGAUUCUAAAGGGUAUCCAUCCCAAUGCAGAUAUCUUAACUCAUAAGAAGAGAAUUCAAAGUCCCUUGGAAGGUGGUUUUCAAGAAAUAGCUUUCUACGCGGGUUAUGGAUUUUGAGCAAUCUAAGUCUAUUCAUCUCUUUGAAAGAUUCUGUAGUAAGCUGUAAUGGAUUAAAUUUACAUCCAUCUAAGAAUAGUCCUUCAAUUGCUCGUGUCCCCUGAAAAAUAUAAGACGAGUAGGUGAAACAAAAGAUGCAUUAGACUUAAUUGAGUUAUACACACGACUAAUUUCUGAAAAAAUAAUAAUAGUAUUGAAGCUUGCAUACACACGUAUAAACAAGUUUAUGCAUUUGACUCUUACUAUAUUUCUUAUUAGCACAUGAUAGGCAUCAUAAUCCCACAAUCUACUCCUUCUUCCAGGGUCUUCAGGGCAUUCUUGACGAAUAAUCUCCCAACCCAUUUGUUGUAUUAAAUCAUGCAUAUCUAGCAUGUUUUUUGAAACAGUUAUGAGACAUCUAUCAUCUAGAGUUGUUAUUGCGUGCUUUGCAUGAGGGCCCAAUAUUCUUGAAACAAAAUCUGUAUUAUAUCCUUUGAAAAAGCAUGCAACAUCCAAAAAUAUCCCCUUGUCUAUAUCAUCGAGUCCAUCAAAGCUUAUUCUAAGUACAUUGUGAAUUUCCAUGUGGGGCAUUAUUUUUAGCUUACACAGUGCACUUUCCCAAUUACUUAUUUUCUUUCCAAAAAGAGAAGCACCUAAAACUUUAAGUGCUAACGGAAGGCCAUUAGCAUAAUCUAUGAUAUUGUAUGAGAGGUUUUUAUAAACUUCUUGGGGACGAUUUUGUUUAAAGGCCCACAAACUAAAGAGCUCAAUAGCUUCUUCCUUGUUUAAUUCUGAAACCUCAUAUGGUACAUCCGCUCCAUAUUGAGCAAGCACGUGUUUGUCUCUAGAUGUAAUGAUGAUUGUACUUUUUGCAUGAAACCAAUCUUUCUCUUCAGCCAAAUAUUCUAGUUGUUUCAACUCAUCCACAUCAUCAAAAAUAACAAGAACUCUAUUGGAGCUUAGACACCUCUUUAUCAUACUAAUUCCUUCAUCAACAUUGUUUAUUUUAAAAAAAUUUCCCCUUAGGAUACCAUGAAGAAGUUCUUGCUGUAACUAAAGUAUAUUAUCACCUUUGGAUCUCUCUUUGAUAUUUAUAAGAAAGCUACUACCAUCAUAUUGAGGUGAGAUCUCAUUAUAAAUAGCCUUGGCGAUAGUAGUCUUCCCAGCCCCACCAAUUCCAUAUAUCCCUACGACGCUAACCAUAUUUAACUCAGUGUUCAUCAACGAUUUCAAUUUUUCCAAAUGAACACCAAUUCCAACUAUGUUCUUUCCCACACUUAAAGGUAGAUGGUUUAAUCUUCUAAUGAUUGUAUCAACAAUUUCCUUGAUAACCUCAGUCUCAUACCUGCCAAUCAUAUAAAUUAAGUAAAAUGAUGAGUUAGAAUGAGUUGCAAAAUAUAAUAAAUUUAAAAAAAAUUUAGUCGUGUAUGGCCGUGUCCAAUAUUAUUGAAUUAGUAGCAAUGGAAUGAAAAAGAAAGGGGUCAAGCCAAUUUACUUACAUAUUUAAGCUUCAAAUUUGUAAGUAUCAAACUACUAAUGUGCCAAGUUGCAAAUUUUCAAUACUCUUACUGUUAGAGCAUUGUGUAGGACUCCUCUAUGAACAAGCUAAUGCCUUCUUUCAACUUUUAUUUCACAAACAACUUGCUUAUGAUUCCUCAAUUUCACUUGUCUUUAGGUUUUAUUAACUUACCAAUACUUACCAAUGUUGCAAAGACUCUGUUUUUAGCCUGCCAAUUAAUUUUGCAUUUUCAUAGAGGAAUCAGGAAACGAGUGAAUGUGGAGAAUUUCAUGAUUUGCUUGUUGAUUGGGAACUUAAAUAUGAUUUGCUUUUGAGAAAAUUAUAAAAGGGUUAAAUUUUGAUACUUGUAUUUUUGGACCAACACAAGGGAAAAAUGAAAGUUAGAUUUUGUUAACAAUUUCAUACUUACUGGUCAUUCACAUGGCAUCCAGAUAGAUUAGCUGCUUCUCUCAAUGCAAUCCUCCACUUUUGUAUCAUCUCCAUCUUUUCUUGAUUUGCAUCUCUUUCAUGGUAGGCAAGUGCGUCUCCGAAACUUCCCCUUUGGUUUCGUACAUCAGAUGGAUCCACAUGGUAGAAAAUUGGUAGAACCACUGAUUCCUUUUGGCUCUUGCGUUCAAUGAUCUUUACGAGUUCAUUUAAACACCAUCUGGAGUAAGCAUAAUUUUUUGAGAAAAUAAUAAUAAAAAUCCUCGAUUCUUCGAUAGCUCUGAAGAGAUCAGAUGCAAUAUCUCCUCCUUUCUCAAGUUCCUCAUCAUCUCUGAAAGUUUGAAUUCCAGAUGCAGUCAAUGUGGUAUAUAGAUGAUCAGUGAAAUUUCUGCGAGUAUCGCCACCUCUAAAACUCAAGAACACAUCAUAAUUACGAGAAAUAGAAGUAGUCGAGGAAGAGGCUCUAUGGGUGCUGGAAGAAGCCAUUUUUGGAUGGCUUGAACCAAAAUUACAAGGGAGUUUGGAGGGUCCUUGGAUGCUCAAUGACUAUUGGCUUCAGACCUCUUCACCAUGAACAAAAAUCCAAGCUGGGAGGGAGGUUCAGCUGAAAAGUUUCAUCUGCAGUCGUAAAAGAAAAGAAAAACGUAUAUAAAGCCCUCUUUGAGAAAUUUCUUUGUAUAUAAAUUCUAAGAGAAACUCACACAUAUUUUACCUUUUGGUUGGGGAAGAUCCUUUCUCCAUUCCCUUUGUGUUGGAGACUGCAGUUAAGGGAUGUAGAGAAGAUGGCGGGGAAGACGGUGUGCAGGAUAGACAGGGGUUGAAGAAGAGGCGGUGGGUAGCAGAGGUCUCGUUGACUAGUGGAUGGAAUUCUAAUCUUUUUUUUUUUUUUUUUUUACCACUUACCUCCAACGGCACUGUAGAAUUUUCCAUAAUAUGAAUAUAUAUAUAAAAGAGAAUCUUAGUUGUACAACUUGAUCCUUAUUUAGUCUAUAUUAGUUCCUUUUCUAUGUAAUAUUUAUUUUGAUAUUUUAUAACUUGAAUUUAUAGAAUAUCUUUUGUUCAAUAAUUUUUUGUUUUAAUUUUUAUGAAAAAUAUCAAUUUUUAUAAAUAUAUCAAUGAAUCAAUUUUACGAAUAUAUUGAGAUAUAUCAAAAAAUAUUGAUGGAUAUUCUGAAAUAAAAUAUGAAUAAGACAAAAAUUAUUCAAAAUUUAUAAAAAUAUUUAAAACAAUUAUAAAAAAUGCAUAUAAGAAGUGACAAUAAAUACAUUGAUGUUGUUUUGUUAAAGAAAUGAAUAUAAGUAUGAUAUAAUUUAUAGCAUUCAAUAAUAAUAUUUAGAAUUUAAAAGUAAAUUUUAUAUAAAUGUAUCUAAUUUGAAUGUUUUUAAUAACAUAAAAGACAUGAUGAUAAAAAUAUUAAUAUUUUUUAUUUUGAAAUAUUAAUAAUUUUAUUUAUAAAUAAAAAUAUAUAUAUUAAUUUAUGCACAUGAAACAUUAUAUAUAUAUAUAUAUAUAUAUAUAUAUAAAAGAGAAUCUUAAUGUAAUGUACAUAAAUAAAUAUUAUAUAUAUAAGUUAUACAUAACGUUAUAAUAUUAACAAAGUUAGCUUGGUGGCGUGGUGCUCACUCUAUGCCUGAGGUCAUGGUUUCUCAAACCCAUCCUUCCACAAUGAUUUAAAUCCCUUUUUAAAGGUAAGAGGUGGGAUCCCACAUCGGUCAGCCACAACACUUAAAAACCUGCUCAUAGACCCUUUGGCAGGUAGCAAUGUUUGAAUGCGUGUGGUUGGCUGGGCCGACGUACACGUAAAAUCUUCCAAAAGGGCAAUUUAUCUCUUUGCCGAGAUAUCCACCUACCGCGCCCUCGUUUGGUGUAGGUAUAAUUUUACUGAAAAAUAUCGAUAAAGAAGAAUAUAUUGAUAUUAAUAAUUUAUUAUUUGUGUUAUUAAAUUAAUUUAUUUUAUAAAAUAUUAUAAUUUUAUUGUUUUUUAUUUUUUAUUUUAGUAAUUUUUGAAUAAACUUAUACUUCUAAUAUUUUAAAAUAAAAUUAUUUAAAAUUAAAUAGAAUUAAAAGGAUAAAUAUAUAAAAUUUAAAAGUAAAGUGAUAAUAAUUUUUUAAAAUAUAAUUAAUGAAAUAAAUGAUGAUAUAUUUAAUAUUAAAAUUAUAAUUUAUUUAAUUUAAAUAAAUUUAAUAAUGUAAAAUAAAUAUUGAUGUAUAUAUGAUUUUUUUAAUAUUCAUAUUUUUUAUAUUUAAUUAUCAUUAUUAAGAAAAUUAUAGAAAUGGUUUUUUUACUUUUAUUAAUUAAUUAAAAAAAUUUAAAUAAAAUAAUUAGAAUUAAUUGAUUUAUUCUUUUAAUAAUAAACUUUAAGAUAUUUAUUGUGAGUAUAUAUUAAGUAACAUAAAUUUAGCCCAGUGGUAGCUGUGCUCAUAUCCAAGCCUUUUGCUUGGGUUGGAAUCCCUUUGGCACAGGUGUUGGUAGAAAAAUUUCCUCCAUUUCGGGGAAAAACUCACCUUUUGGUGUGAAAUACUUUCAUUUAUGUAUAUAUGAUAUUGUUCUAUAUAAAAUAUUCAAGAAAAGUUUUUUGUUUCUUGUUUUCCUUACUUUUCCAACUAUUUAAUUCUUUUUAAAUACACCUUUGAGCCACUUCAAGGCAACAAUAAUCCAUGUAAUUAUUUUUAUUUUUUGUUUUUAUAAUAUGUGUAUGGCAUAGAUAAUGAAAUUUACAUCGAAAAAAGCAAUCAAGCCUUGCAUGUAGGGGUCUCCAAAAAGCCCGCGGCCCGCUUUAGGCCCGGCCCGGCCCGACGGGCUAAAGCCCGGCCCAAGCCCGCCGGGCCCGAGCCCGUUUAUGGGCGGGCCGGGCCGCGGGCCUAAAUUUAGGCCCGGCCCGUAGGCUUGGCCCGUAGGCCCGCCCUUAGGCCCGCCUUUAAUUUUUUUUAAAAAAAUAAUAUACUAUAUUUUUAUAUAUAUAUAACUAAUUCAUUUAAUAAGCACAAAAUAAAUGUAGCUCAGUUGGUUAGAGCCUUGAAAUUUAAGCUUGAGGUGAGGGGUUCGAAUCCCCCCCUCUUCCUUCCUUUAUUUAAAAAAGCCCGCGGCCCGGCCCGUCGGCCCGGCCCGCCCAGCCCGCCAGCCCGCUAGCCCGCGGGCUCAUAGGCCGGGCCGCGGGCCUCCUAUUUACGGCCCGGCCUGGCCCGGCCCGCCCGUUGGAGACCCUUACUUGCAUGUGAAGUUUCAUUUUCACAUUUUUUAUUUCUUUUCUAUUUUUAUGUUUUCCCCUAAGGCAUUAUCUAUCUAUCUAUAUAUAUAUAUAUAUAUAUAUAUAUAUAUAUUUAUACACAUCUCAUAUUUACAACUUUUUAUUUUUGCUUAACUUUCUUUUUCUUUUUUUAUUUGUAUUUAGUAACAAUGGGUUCAUUUGACAUUCAUUCCAAAGCCUCCUUUUUUGUCAUCAAAUUAUUCAAAUGAUGAUAUUAUAUAAGGAAUUUCAAUUUAUAAUACUUUUAUUCUUAAAAAAUAUUAUAUCUUUUUCUUUAAUAUUUACCCUUUAAUCAUUGUCGCAAAAUGAUAAGAUUGAAGUAAGUGCAAUUAUGCUUUAUUUGAUACUAAUAAGAAUUUCAAAAUCCCUUCACCUCAAGAUAUUGAAGUCUAGGUAAAAAAAAUAGAUGGAUAAAAGUGUGACAUAAAACUUUUCUUCUUUUUUCUUUUCCCAUUUGAAAGGUGUUUGUAGUUGAGGUUAAAAAAAUAUCAAGUGGCAUAACAAAAAUAUAGGAUUCACGAAAAGAGUCAAAUUAAAGGUUUUUGAUGACUAUCUUUGGCAUUUUGAUUUUUGUUUUUCUCCUUUUAACAUACAACAACCACUCUUCUCUUUUAGUACUUGUCUUGAACUUUGAUGACAAUUGUGCAAAGCCUUUUAUAGAGUUUGCUUGAAGGCAUAUUACCAUCAAAAGUUCAAUAAACCUAGGAAAUUUCAUGAAAAUAUUUUAUAUCAUUUCUUCAAAUUUAGAUCUUGGUAAGAAAUUGGUUUAAAGGGAAGCUACUAUCAAAGUUUAGAAAAUAGAAUGUCUUCCAUACUAUAUCUCAUGUUUAGGUAACAUGAAAAGAAUAAUACUUUUUUUUUUUUCAUUUUUCUUUUGUUCCUCUUCUUUUUUGGCAUUCAUUGGUGAUUAGUUAUAUACACAUAAUAUAAUUUUUAAAAGGAUUUCUUUUAUUUUUAUUUUUUCCAAAAUAAUAUUUGAGGAACCUUGAUUAUACCCUUUUAUUAUAUUUUCUUCAUUAAAAAAAAAAUUCUUUUAUGCAUGUUGUUCAUAUUAUAUAUGAUAAUUUAAUUAAAUUUUAGUUACAACUUUGAGCUAGUCGAAGCCCACAAAAUCCAUUUAAUAAUGUUUUUUUUUUUCAAAAUAUUUAUAUAGUUUGAGGUGCCAAAUAUAACAAUAAAAGAUCAAUGGAUAUGAAUAAAAAAAUGACUAAAAGUAUACAAUAGUUUUCCCUUUUACGUACUUACUUUCUAAUUUGGUAGCUCUUUUGCACUCUUAUGAAAACUUUUAUAAAUCUUUAUGUCAAAUUUGUAUGAAGGUAAUCUAUAUACAUGUGUGUAUAUACAUAUCACUUAAUGAUAGUUGGCUUCAUAUGGAAAAAGCAAAUAUUGCCUCCUAACUUUAUUAUUAUCGUAAUGUGAUAUUUUAUCUUCCAAUUUUACUUUCAUCCCUUGGCAUUUAAUACUAUGCUAUUUAUAAUACUUUCUCUUUUUUCUUAAAACGUUUUUUUUUAUUUGAAUUUAGUAACAAUGGGUUAACUUGACAUUCAUUCCAAAGCCUUCUUAUUUGUUCUCAAAUUAUUCAAAAGAUGAUAUUGAAUUUAUGAAAUAGAUGUUUGUAAAAUUUAUGUUAAAUGAUAAUAUUUUUUAAGAAAAAAUAUCAUCUCCUUUUCUUUAAUAUUUAUCCUUUUGUCAUUACUACAAAGUAAGUGCAAUUAUGCUUCAUUUGAUGAUUAAUGAAGAAAAAAGUUACUUUUUUGAUAUUAAAUAUUUAUCCUUUAAUUAUUUUUGCAAAGUUAAAUUAGAGUUUCAUGAAUGCCUUUUCUACUACAAUUAUGAAAUUCGAAAUUUAUUGGCUUGGUACAUUGAAAUCUCUCAAAGAAAUUGAGUUCAUGGAAAAGAUAAGUAUCAGUAUUGAAAUUCAAAUUAAUAUUUGUAACUUAAAGAUUUCUUUAAGCAUUAAAGUUUAGUGUUAUAUUAUAAUAGCAACUAAAAAGACAUUUUUUUGCUCAUUUUCCCCAUUUAUUCUUUUGAAAGUAUAAAAAUAUUAAGAAAAAACUUCAAAAUAUGACAAGAUAAAAAUACUUUGAAAAAUAUAAUACGUAUAAUAUUUUUUGUGAUAUUUUGUGAUAGUAUAUAGAAUUUAAAAACAUAUUAUUAUUAAAAUUAUAAUAUAUUUAGUUUGAUUAUAUAAAAUAAAUGAUAAUAUAUGUAUAAAUAUUUUUAUUUAAAAAUAUUGAUAAUUUUAUUUUUUAUUUAAAUAUUAUACAAAAGAUACUAAUAUAGUUAAAAUUGAUUUUUAAUUUAUAAUAUAUUUAUCUAUAUAUUUGUAUUAUAUAUAGUUUAGACGUGUAAUAUAACCAAAGUAGUAGUUUGGGUGGUGCACGAUUACUGCGCCCUCAUGGGCUGGCUUUAUAUAAAGCCCAAUAGGAGAACUUUUUUAAAGUAAAAGUGAUGCUGACAUUCGGAGCGUAUUUUCAACAUUGGUGGGAUGACUUCAAGCACUCUUUGCUUUUUUCAUUUUAUAAGUCAAGAAUUUGAUGAUUAUCUUUCACUUUUUUUUUUUAUUGCUUUUCUCAUCUCUACAUUCGACAGCCAAUCUUAUUGCUUCUAGUGGUUUUCUUAAGCUUUGAUGAAAACUACCAUCCUAAGCAUCCAAAGUUCAAAGAAUCGGGAAACUCUACAUGAAUUUCACAUAAUCCCUUGAAAUUUAGAUCGUGCUAAGAAAUUGGUUUCAAGGCAUGCUACUACUAAAGUUUAAUAAACCAAGGAAAAUGAAAGACAUUUCACACUAUUUCUCGAAAUUUGGAUCCUGGUAGAAAAUUUCUAUCAAGAUAGGCCAAAAACAAAAUUGAAUAAAUCAAGGAAAUUAGCAUGAUGACAUUUCACACUAUUUAGUUACAUGAUUGCUGGGUAUUAUCCAAAAUUCAAAAGACCAAAGAAAAUUUCCUUUCUAUAGUUGGCUUUAUGUAGAAAAAGCAAACAUUGUCUCAAUUUUUAUAUUGAUGUAAUGUUUAUUUGUUGUUGUCAUGCAUUCAAUAUAUAAACUACUACAACUACUACCACGUUUCCUCUCUAUCAUUGGCUUAAGUUAAAAGAAGCAAAUCUUGUCUCAUUCUUAUACAAUCAAUAAUAUACACUACUACUACUACUAAUAGCAUACUACUAUUACUACUACUAUACUAUUUCUACUACUAGUAGUAUACAUUCUAAUUCUUUAUAGUAAUGUAAUAUUUACUACCACUAACUACACAUUCUAAUUCUUUACACUACUACUACUACUACUAAGCGUCCUACUAUAAUUACUAUUAGUAGUAUAAUGCUAUUACUACUGCUCCUACUAUUAGUAUACUACUAUUACUACUAUUAGUAGUAUAUUACUACGCCUACUACUAGUACGCAUUCUAAUUCUUAAUAAUAAUGUAAUAUUUAUUCUAAUUCUUUAUAGUAAUGUAAUAUUUAUUUAUUUUUAUCAUGCAUUCAAUAAUAUAUAUUCAAUAAUAUAUACUACUUCAUUACUACUACUAGUACUUCAUUUGACAUUUAUUUCAAAGCCUCCUCAUGCAUCCUCAAAUUAUUCCAAUAUAUAUAUAUAUAUAUAUAUAUAUAUAUAUAUAUAUAUAUAUAUAUAAAAUAAUAAAAAUUUUAUAAAAUUAAUGCGUACAAAAAUUAUAUGAAAAUAUUCAUUAUUUAAAAAAAAAAUCUCACCCCAUUUUCUUUAAUAUUUGAUGACAAAUAUAAUAUAGUUAAAAAGAGUACACUAUUGUACAAAUCAUGUAACUUUUAAAGUAUCUCUAUUUAGGCCUUGCUUGAAACCAUAGAAUAAAGCAUAGGAAUGAGUUAAUGUGCUUGGGUUGUUUUUAGAAUAAGAAUAGGAAUAAAAAAUCAUUGUUGUGGAAACCAAAUUCCAUUAUCACUAGGAUUUUGAUUCCUUUAUCUUAUCUUACAUGGGAUUAGGAUUCAUCCUAUCCUCAUUCCUAUUUUCAUGUAUCAAACGAAACCUUAGGCUAUGUUUGGCGUGUGGGAAUUGAGAUGAGAAUAAACACUUUGUUUCCAUUCUAUUUAAUCUUGAAUAAAAAUAAAUUUGAUAAUUUCAAUUCUUGUAUUUGGAUGCACUUAUAAAUGGAAUGUUGGAAUGAUCAUUUGUUUUCAUUUUAAUGUUUGAUAACAUCAUGUAUGAAAUUAAUUUUCUCAUUAGAACAACAAAAACCUUAGUUAUAGUAUAAUGAAAAGUUUAAUAAAGUUGAAAGGAGGAAAUCAAUAAAGAAAUGAUAUUUUAACUUUCUUAAGUUUUGUACACUUCUUUUUAUAUUAAAUUCAAUUUUUAAAUUUGUAAUUAUUUAACCAAAUCCAAAACAAUAUACUUAGCUUCAAUUUAUGUUUCCAACUUGUAUAUGUUAAUAUAAGACUUAGUGGUAGUAAAGUAUUUGAACCAGUAACCUAUAGAGCAAAUUUGUCUACUUAAACUAGUACAUUGACAAUCUCAUCCUUUGAAAAUUUUGGAACAAUACAAAAUAUUGCAAUACAACCCUCUAAAACUCUAAAAUUCAGAUCCUAAAGUCACUCGACCUAAUCCUUACCAAAGAUCACUCACUAUAAAUAACACCUUCUUAUAUUUCUUUUUUUUUUUGCAUGAAUAUGUCACCGCAUAACACCUUCUCCUCUUGAAUUUGAUUCCUUGUUCUUAAUUUGACAUUCUUUUUCCCUUUUAGAUUUGAAAAAAAAAAAAAUCAAAUGGAAUAGCAAAUUAAAAAAUGGUGUGAAUUCAACUUGAUAAGAGUUUAAUCAAAAUUGGAAAUUUGCUUGUAAUAUCUAACUUGCCUUAAUGAAUAAGGAUGUAUGGGUUGAUCAAUUGAGCUUUAGGCCCUUGAAUAAUCAUCUCAGCUUUCACUUUCAAUUGCUUGAGAUAUUUCAUUUGGAUAUCAAUCAAACCCAAGGUUGAGACAUUAAAUUGUACGUGUGUUAGUUUUUAUAAUAAACUAGUUUCACAAAAUGGUUGAUGCUUCAAAAGUGAUAACUUAGUUAACAAAUGCAAUGCCAUAAUUUUAUAUUUUUGCUCAUUUGAUGUAUGUGGGAACAAAAACUAACAUGGAUCUUAAAGUAUUCCAAAACAAAAUACUUGAAAUUGAAAUAUUCUUUUCCACCUAAUUUGAUUGCUCAUUCUAGAUUGGAGAUUCUAUCUCUUUACACCAAGAAUUAUAUAUAGUGCAAGAGUGUGAGUUUAAAUUGGCAUCACUUUAAUCAAAAUCUAAGAUUGGGUUGAAGUAUUUGACUUGCCUUGAUUAAUAAGGACACCCAUGGCUCAACUGAUGGAGGUUGGUGUGUACUAACUUAUCCAACAAAAUGUUUAAUCUGCAAAAAAAUUAAUACAAUCAAGCUUGUCCUAGAAAUGCCCUAAAAUGAGUCCCAAUAAAAAUAGGUUUUGAAAAAAAAAAAAAAAAAAACAAAAAUUCAGUAAAAGGAAUUUCAGCCCCUUGGAAUCAGCAAGGCAUAUAUAAUAGAAACUAAGAAAAGGAGGACGGCUUAAUUAUUACCAAAAAGUUGAGAUAAAUGUUUGGUCAACAUCAACAAUUCUCUUACUUGAAAUUAGUGUCUUGUACAGCAUAUCCAAUGAACAAAUUUGCAAAGAAGCUCCAGCCACCUGUGCAUAUGGUCCAUUUCAUGGUCUUGGGCAUCAACACCAAUACCAUCAAUCAGGGUGGUGCCAUCACAGUGUCUCUCCACAUCAGUAUUCGUAUCUUCUACAGUUG
rnacentral:lncRNA from 1 species